rnacentral:pre_miRNA from 1 species
AUAGUACUCCCUCCGGCCCAAAAUAAGUGACUCAAAAAUGACUCAAUUUUGUACUAACUUUAGUACAAAGUUAAGUCAUUUUUGAGUCACUUAUUUUGGGACGGAGGGAGUAUAAU